GACGAACGCUUGCGGCGUGCUUAACACAUGCAAGUCGAACGGAAAGGCCCUGCUUUUGUGGGGUGCUCGAGUGGCGAACGGGUGAGUAACACGUGAGUAACCUGCCCUUGACUUUGGGAUAACUUCAGGAAACUGGGGCUAAUACCGGAUAGGAGCUCCUGCUGCAUGGUGGGGGUUGGAAAGUUUCGGCGGUUGGGGAUGGACUCGCGGCUUAUCAGCUUGUUGGUGGGGUAGUGGCUUACCAAGGCUUUGACGGGUAGCCGGCCUGAGAGGGUGACCGGCCGCAUUGGGACUGAGAUACGGCCCAGACUCCUACGGGAGGCAGCAGUGGGGAAUAUUGCACGAUGGGCGGAAGCCUGAUGCAGCAACGCCGCGUGCGGGAUGACGGCCUUCGGGUUGUAAACCGCUUUCGCCUGUGACGAAGCGUGAGUGACGGUAAUGGGUAAAGAAGCACCGGCUAACUACGUGCCAGCAGCCGCGGUGAUACGUAGGGUGCGAGCGUUGUCCGGAUUUAUUGGGCGUAAAGGGCUCGUAGGUGGUUGAUCGCGUCGGAAGUGUAAUCUUGGGGCUUAACCCUGAGCGUGCUUUCGAUACGGGUUGACUUGAGGAAGGUAGGGGAGAAUGGAAUUCCUGGUGGAGCGGUGGAAUGCGCAGAUAUCAGGAGGAACACCAGUGGCGAAGGCGGUUCUCUGGGCCUUUCCUGACGCUGAGGAGCGAAAGCGUGGGGAGCGAACAGGCCUAGAUACCCUGGUAGUCCACGCUGUAAACGGUGGGUACUAGGUGUGGGGUCCAUUCCACGGGUUCCGUGCCGUAGCUAACGCUUUAAGUACCCCGCCUGGGGAGUACGGCCGCAAGGCUAAAACUCAAAGGAAUUGACGGGGCCCCGCACAAGCGGCGGAGCAUGCGGAUUAAUUCGAUGCAACGCGUAGAACCUUACCUGGGUUUGACAUGGAUCGGGAGUGCUCAGAGAUGGGUGUGCCUCUUUUGGGGUCGGUUCACAGGUGGUGCAUGGCUAUCGUCAGCUCGUGUCGUGAGAUGUUGGGUUAAGUCCCGCAACGAGCGCAACCCUUGUUCACUGUUGCCAGCACGUUAUGGUGGGGACUCAGUGGAGACCGCCGGGGUCAACUCGGAGGAAGGUGGGGAUGACGUCAAGUCGUCAUGCCCCUUAUGUCCAGGGCUUCACGCAUGCUACAAUGGCUGGUACAGAGAGUGGCGAGCCUGUGAGGGUGAGCGAAUCUCGGAAAGCCGGUCUCAGUUCGGAUUGGGGUCUGCAACUCGACCUCAUGAAGUCGGAGUCGCUAGUAAUCGCAGAUCAGCAACGCUGCGGUGAAUACGUUCCCGGG
rnacentral:rRNA from 1 species